rnacentral:rRNA from 1 species
GCAAGAUACCACGGGCGCACGGCGGAUGCCUUGGCACAGGGAGCCGAUGAAGGACGCGGCAAGCUGCGAUAAUCCCCGGCGAGGAGCACACAUCCUUCGACCCGGGGGUCUCCGAAUGGGCGAACCCAUCCAUAGAGGUACGGAUAUCCCCACCCCGAACACAUAGGGGCGGGGAGGACAACCCGGGGAACUGAAACAUCUAAGUACCCGGAGGAGAGGAAAUCAAUCUCGAGACUCCCCGAGUAGCGGCGAGCGAAAGGGGACCGAUGGCCAAACCGUCGAGCGGGCAUACCCGGCAGGGGUUCCGCCGACGGGGUUGCAGGGCCGCGCAUCCGGGGGCUGCCGCCCCCGGGCGCAGGUCCGGCUGGGGAGCGGAACGGCAUGGGAGGGCCGGCCGCAGCGGGUGACAGCCCCGUACGCGAACCCAGACCGGACGGCGCGACGCGGUCCCUGAGUAGGGCCGGGCACGUGAAACCCGGUCCGAACCUGGGUGGACCACCAUCCAAGCCUGAGUACUACCCUGUGACCGAUAGCGCACCAGUACCGUGAGGGAAAGGUGAAAAGCACCCCGGGAGGGGAGUGAAACAGUACCUGAAACCGUGCGCCCACGAGCAGUCGGAGCACCUAUACGGUGUGACGGCGUGCCUUUUGUAGAAUGAGCCAGCGAGUCGCUGGCGCGGGGCGAGGUUAACCGAAAGGGAGCCGGAGCGAAAGCGAGCCUUAACAGGGCGACUUGAGUCCCGCGCCGCGGACGCGAAGCCGGGUGAGCUAUCCGUGGGCAGGCUGAAGCGGGGGUAAGACCCCGUGGAGGGCCGAACGCACGUCGGUUGAAAACGGCGGCGAUGACCUGCGGAUAGGGGUGAAAGGCCAAUCAAACCCGGAGAUAUCUCGUUCUCCCCGAAAUAGCUUUAGGGCUAGCGUCGCGCGUUCACCGCCGGAGGUAGAGCACCGGAUGGACGAGGGGGCUUCGCCGCCUACCGAAUCCAACCGAACUCCGAAUGCCGGCGGCCCAGAGCGCGGCAGUCAGAGCAUGUGGGCUAAGCUGUGUGCUCGAGAGGGAAACAGCCCGGACCGCCCGCUAAGGUCCCCAAGUUCCAGCCGAGUGGCAAAGGAUGUGCGUCCGCCCAGACAACCAGGAUGUUGGCUUAGAAGCAGCCAUGCAUUCAAAGAGUGCGUAACAGCUCACUGGUCGAGUGGACAUGCGCCGACAAUACACGGGGCUAAGCUGGACACCGAAGCGGCGGGAUUUUAUCUAUAUAGAAUCGGUAGGGGAGCUUCCCAUGGGCGGUGAAGCCGCCGGGCGACCGGCGGUGGAGCGCAUGGGAGUGAGAAUGCUGGCAUGAGUAGCGAGAGACGAGAGAGUAACUCGUCCGCCGUGAACCCGAGGUUUCCUGGGCAAGGCUAAUCCUCCCAGGGUCAGUCGGGGGCUAAGGCGAGGCCGGGAGGCGUAGCCGACGCGCAGCAGGCAGACAUUCCUGCACCGCGCACGCGGCGCUACGACCGACGGGGCGACGGAUGGGGGUGGCUCGGCGGGGUUCUGGACGUCCCCGUGAUGGAGCGCGGCCCGCGGACCAGGGAAAUCCGGUCCGCACGAGGGCGAGGCUCCGGACGAAGCGAUCAAGCGAAGCGAGUGAGCCCGAGGUCCCUAGAAAAACCCCUAGGCAGGCGCGUGCGCGCCCGUACCGCAAACCGACACAGGUGGGUGGGUAGAACAUACCGAGGCGAUCGGGUCAACCAUGGUCAAGGAACUCGGCACAAUGGCCCCGUAACUUCGGGAGAAGGGGUGCCCGCGCGUACGUGAACGGACUUGCUCCGGGAGCGGAGGCGGGCCGCAGUGGAGAGGCCCAAGCGACUGUUUACCAAAAACACAGGACUCUGCAGAAGCCGCAAGGCGACGUAUAGGGUCUGACGCCUGCCCGGUGCCGGAAGGUCACGCGGAGGAGUUAGCGCAUCGCGCGAAGCCCCGAAGCCAAGCCCCGGUAAACGGCGGCCGUAACUAUAACGGUCCUAAGGUAGCGAAAUUCCUUGUCGGGUAAGUUCCGACCUGCACGAAAGG